UGUAUUAAAAACCAUGGAUGUGUGCCCAUGUGCACACACAUAAGCACAACCAGACUGGGCAGAUGGAAAGAGCACGAGAGAAAAACAGUAAUUUCUCUUACCACUACAGUGAGGCCUAGGCUGACAUAAAGGGACGUAUGACACAUAUCGGCUGGCUACAAGAACCAUUAUUCUGACCCUGACAGUUAUCGAGCAUGUUCCAGGCCUCAAGAUGAGUACCCCGCUGAAAAUAUAGGGUUGUGUCUUCUGAAAUGAGAAAGAGACCUUAUACAAAAUUUUAUUUGGGGGAAAAUGAUGUCAACAGUUUGACUACAUUUAAUCUCCCAUAAGAAAGUACAUGGGUCUUUGGGUCAAGAAAAUAGCCAGACCUGUUUUCCUUGCAAUCUGCAUGUCACUAACAAUUGAAAAUAGUAAGAGAGUAAAGCUGAAUAUGAGGGCAAAAUAUACUGAGCAAUACUGGUCUAAAGGA